rnacentral:rRNA from 1 species
GUCGGGCGGCAGCGGGUCCUUCGGGAUGCCGGCGAGCGGCGAACGGGUGAGUAAUGUAUCGGAACGUACCCAUUAGUGGGGGAUAACUACGCGAAAGCGUGGCUAAUACCGCGUACGCCCCUUUGGCGACAUUGGGGGAAAGCAGGGGACCUUUCGGGGCCUUGCGCUAUUGGAGCGGCCGAUAUCGGAUUAGUUUGUUGGUGGGGUAAUGGCCUACCAAGGCGAUGAUCCGUAGCUGGUUUGAGAGGACGACCAGCCACACUGGGACUGAGACACGGCCCAGACUCCUACGGGAGGCAGCAGUGGGGAAUUUUGGACAAUGGGGGCAACCCUGAUCCAGCCAUUUCGCGUGUGCGAUGAAGGCCUUC